AGUGAACGCUGGCGGUAGGCCUAACACAUGCAAGUCGAACGGCGGCACAGUAAGAGCUUGCUCUUACGGGUGGCGAGUGGCGGACGGGUGAGGAAUACAUCGGAAUCUACUUUUUCGUGGGGGAUAACGUAGGGAAACUUACGCUAAUACCGCAUACGACCUACGGGUGAAAGCAGGGGAUCUUCGGACCUUGCGCGAUUGAAUGAGCCGAUGUCGGAUUAGCUAGUUGGCGGGGUAAAGGCCCACCAAGGCGACGAUCCGUAGCUGGUCUGAGAGGAUGAUCAGCCACACUGGAACUGAGACACGGUCCAGACUCCUACGGGAGGCAGCAGUGGGGAAUAUUGGACAAUGGGCGCAAGCCUGAUCCAGCCAUACCGCGUGGGUGAAGAAGGCCUUCGGGUUGUAAAGCCCUUUUGUUGGGAAAGAAAAGCAGCAGGUUAAUACCCCGCUGUUCUGACGGUACCCAAAGAAUAAGCGCCGGCUAACUUCGUG
rnacentral:rRNA from 1 species